AAGAGAAAGAGGACUUGCAAGGCUUUCCACUUUUUUAUUCUUUCAUGUGCCUGUCCUCCAAGUAGCUGCCAGUGGCAAGCACUGGCAGACAACAUGCAUCAGAUGAAUUCUAUUGCUCGUGUAUUUCUCCAUAAUUAGCCAAGAGCCAAGAGGCAAAGGAGGAGUAAUGCAAGUAGGAAGGGUCUCUAGAUAUCCACCUUUAGCAACAGUGGGCAGCAUAUACAAG
rnacentral:lncRNA from 1 species